CACGUAGGGCGCAAGCGUUGUCCGGAUUUAUUGGGCGUAAAGAGCUCGUAGGCGGUUUGUCGCGUCGGCCGUGAAAUCUCCACGCUUAACGUGGAGCGUGCGGUCGAUACGGGCAGACUUGAGUUCGGUAGGGGAGACUGGAAUUCCUGGUGUAGCGGUGAAAUGCGCAGAUAUCAGGAGGAACACCGGUGGCGAAGGCGGGUCUCUGGGCCGAUACUGACGCUGAGGAGCGAAAGCGUGGGGAGCGAACAGG
rnacentral:rRNA from 1 species